AUACUUACCUGGCAGGGGAGAUACCAUGACCACGAAGGUGGUUUUCCCAGGGCGAGGCUUAUCCAUUGCACUCUGGAUGUGCUGACCCCUGUGAUUUCCCCAAAUGUGGGAAACUCAACUGCAUAAUUUGUGGUAGUGGGGGCCUGCCUUCGUGCUCUUCCCUG
ensembl:snRNA U1 U1 spliceosomal RNA